AUGAGCCGUUAGUUGUUGUUAGCAUCAUGCUACAUUGUUUAGCACGCGCAGCUAGUUUAGCUCGUGUGUGUGCUACGUGCUUCCUCUGAGCGUCAGGUGUGUGUACAGCGUUUUAUAAGCGUGAUGACGUGAGUGACGUCUGUCAGCUGUUAUCAACGUGCUGAGCUGAUGACGUGUUGAUUAAAGCUAAUCACAUUGUUCACUUAAUUAAGUGGUGAGCUGGUCUGCAGGGUGAUUUAAAGCUUAUUCUGAUGAAGACCAAUCAGAAACAGUAAUACAGACACAGCUGUUAAAGACUUUAUUCUGAUUGUGGAUCAAUCAUGUAAAUAAAAUGUUUGUUGGUCCAAAAUUAUUAGUUUAGUUCAUCGCUUCUCAAAGUGGGAAUUUAUGCAAGACUGUAUUUUGAAAGUGGCCGACGUUGAAUACCUGGAGAAAAACCGAAGCUCUGUGACUGGAGUUAGUGUAAUGACUCCACGAAGCGACGACCUGGCCAACGAUCUCAGAGCAGCUGAGAUCUGCAGCCUUUUCCAUCGCGCUGGAUGAAAGCACGGACAUUUCUGAUUUUCAUCUGAACAGAGAAGUUUGAAAUAAGCGAGGAGCUGCUACGCUGGGAGAGAUCACAGACAGAACCAGGAGAGUCGACAUGUGUGAUGCUGUGUCUCGAUGUGAACAACGUGAAGCUGCCGUCUGUGGUCGGUCACAACAGGCGCAGCGCCGGCAGCGGUCCGGAGAAAGACCGGUGCCGUGUCGCCGGUUCUGAGGAAAGUGGCCAACAGCGGAGGUGAGAAACUAAUCAGAUAUCACUGCAUAAUGCUUGAAAUCAAACGUGUCAUGGACACUGUUGUGAAGACUCUUAAUUUCCUGAAGUCAAAGAAGUCUGAAUCUGCGCCAAGUCAAGACUUUUUGGAGCAAUCAGACGCAGAUUUUAGUGACGUCGUAGACUUCGCUGCCGUCAGGCGGCUGAGCAGAGGUGCCACACUGAAGCAUUUUUUUAACCUGAGGAAAGAAAUAAGAGAGUUCGUGGAGUCAAAAGGAGAAGAUGUGACACUAAAUGGCUCUGUGACCUGAAUACCUGAGUCUCAGUGACCUCAGAGUGCAGCUGCAGGUCCAUGGGAAGCUCAUCGCCACACUAUCUGACAACCUCAAAGCUUUCCAGAGAAAACUUGAACUGCUGCAGAGAUGGCGCCGACAGGGAGAUUAAACCACUGAUGCCUCGUUUUACGUCACUUGCGUUCAGACAAGAACCAUGACCUCGUAAAAAUACUCAGAGAGGAAUUCAACAACCGCUUGUCCGUCAUUCAACCUCUUCCAGAAUCCCUCCUCAUGUGUCCCGGAGCAGCACAUCGUGACAAGAAUCUCAUCCAGUUCUACAAAGGACCUGUUCCCAUCCACACACCCUGCACUGCACCAGCAUGCUAUCAGAAUGCUCUCUCCAUUCAGAAGCACAACCAUGUGUGAGAAGACCUUCUCCUCCAUGACCAUCAACAGAUCCACGCUGAGAUCCAGGCAGACAGAUGAUCUACCUGCUGUCCUUCUAUCGCAACAACCGAGAUGGAGCAACAGCACAGCACCACAGAUCCCAUGCUGAUAGAAAAGAUAUGUUGACCUACUGACAAAUAUUCAGUGUGAUUUAAUGACACGCUUAGUGAUGACAGGCAGUGAUAGAUAUUAAUGAUGAUGAUGACUUGUUUGGUAAGCUGCUAUUUUAAAAGUGUCUGCAGAUCUUCCUGUGAUGCUUUGGUGGCUGGAAUUGGUCCUGAAUAAGGUCCAAGCUGAUCCGGCAGGAAGCGAGGAACACCGAGGCCGACGAUUGGUUCUGUUAAGUUUUACAUAUAUUCUGAAUUGGACUGUAAUAUCCCAAAUUUGACUGUAGAGGGCAGUAAACCCAACGAUUUUGUGUGCAUUACAAUGUUUCUCAAGGUUUUCUCAAGUGUUGCCAGAUUUUGCCUCAUUUAUUAAUUAAAAUAUGUUUAUUGCACAUUACUGGAUGCAGACCAACACAUGUAAACUGUAGAGAUGCAACCUGGUCAUUAAAAUGAUUACGAAUGGGAUAUUUUUUCUGUUUUUCCCUUUUUUUUGUUUCCUCAGUCCAAUGUUGGGUUCCUAAAUUGGCCCUCAGCUUUCAAACCUUGAGAAUCUCUGGUUUAGCUGAUCAGUGUCAAUAGUUUCAGGUGCUUCAGCCAAUAGAAUCACUGUGUUGGUGUCAGGUGGUGUCUGUUUCAUCAGCACCAACAGCUCGGCAGUUCAGUUUGUGAAGAAAUAAAUUAAAAAAUGGACAAUUUGUCUAUAUUAGCUAACUAGAGUUAGCGACUCUCACUUUUUAUUAUUAUUAUUUUAAUUACAUCAAUAAAAGAAAGGGAUAUUUAAAACUACAUGUGCAAGCAAAUGUGUUUUUUUCUUCUUUUAUCAAUAAUAAUCUAUAAUUUCUAUUUAAUUUGCGUACAUUUUAGUCAUUUACAUUAAAAACACUGUUUUUGGUAGUAAAAUAAAAAUCAAAGGGAAAAAAUAAGAGAUUUUAUAGUGCUGUAAUUAUGUCUCAGUCUUGUGACAAAAUAAUAAUUACUAACUGAUAAUAAUACCUUUCCCUAUCAUUGCGUUACAUGACGAUGUGGCGUGACCCGCCACUUUAAGUGGUUGCCAGUUUGUUGGAGCUAAUGUUGCUAAUGCUAGCUAGCUAACAUUAGGGCGGCACAGCCAUUUAUAUGUUGUUUUUUCUCACUAACUGACGAUUAACCAGAGUGACGGCGCUGAUGAAACAGACGCCACGUGACACCGACAGAGUGACUCUGUUGGCUGAGCCGGCUGUCACAUCAACAAAACAACCAUUUUAAAUCAUUGAUUCACAAUCAGAAUAAUAAUGUUUUAAAGAACAAUUUGUCAGUAGGAGAAUGUGAUCAGGUUGAUCUUUAAACUAUUGAUUACAUUUAACAGCAGCUGUGGUCCCGUCUGCACACACAGGUCAGGUGACGGCGAGCAGAGAAACGACGACAGACAUCAGCGAUCGUCGUCUGAGCUGAUUAGCUCAGAGAAUGUUUGCUGUCAUCUCAAGCUGCUGCUGUGAGAAGGUAAUAAUAUGCUACAAUUACGUGUGUAAUUAUAGAUUGUAAAGUCCUGUGAAUAUGAUUAUAACAGAUGCUAACAGAAUAAAGUCGCCACAAAACGCUCA